GAACGCUAGCGGCAGGCUUAACACAUGCAAGUCGAGGGGCAGCGGGGAGGAAGCUUGCUUUCUCCGCCGGCGACCGGCGCACGGGUGAGUAACACGUAUGCAACCUGCCCCUGUCAGGGGGACAACCCGCCGAAAGGCGGGCUAAACCCGCGUACAUGCCACCGGGGCAUCCCGGAGGCAGGAAAGGCUUCGGCCGGACAGGGAUGGGCAUGCGGCGCAUUAGGCAGUAGGCGGGGUAACGGCCCACCUAACCGACGAUGCGUAGGGGUUCUGAGAGGAAGGUCCCCCACACCGGUACUGAGACACGGACCAGACUCCUACGGGAGGCAGCAGUGAGGAAUAUUGGUCAAUGGUCGGGAGACUGAACCAGCCAAGCCGCGUGAGGGAGGAAGGUACAGAGUAUCGUAAACCUCUUUUGUCAGGGAACAAAGACUGGGACGCGUCCCCGGAUGAGUGUACCUGAAGAAAAAGCAUCGGCUAACUCCGUGCCAGCAGCCGCGGUAAUACGGAGGAUGCGAGCGUUAUCCGGAUUUAUUGGGUUUAAAGGGUGCGCAGGCGGUCUGUUAAGUCAGCGGUCAAAGCCCGGGGCUCAACCCCGGCCCGCCGUUGAAACUGGCAGUCUCGAGUUGGAGAGAAGUAUGCGGAAUGCGCGGUGUAGCGGUGAAAUGCAUAGAUAUCGCGCAGAACUCCGAUUGCGAAGGCAGCAUGCCGGCUCCACACUGACGCUGAGGCACGAAAGCGUGGGUAUCGAACAGGAUAGAUACCCUGGUAGUCCACGCAGUAAACGAUGAAUGCUGGCUGUCCGGGGGGACUGACCCCUGGGUGGCGAAGCGAAAGCGAUAAGCAUUCCACCUGGGGAGUACGCCGGCAACGGUGAAACUCAAAGGAAUUGACGGGGGCCCGCACAAGCGGAGGAACAUGUGGUUUAAUUCGAUGAUACGCGAGGAACCUUACCCGGGCUCAAACGGGGAGUGGCGCAGGCAGAGACGCCUGUUUCCCACGGGACACUCCCCGAGGUGCUGCAUGGUUGUCGUCAGCUCGUGCCGUGAGGUGUCGGCUUAAGUGCCAUAACGAGCGCAACCCCCGCGUGCAGUUGCUAACAGUCAACGCUGGGGACUCUGCACGGACUGCCGGCGCAAGCCGCGAGGAAGGCGGGGAUGACGUCAAAUCAGCACGGCCCUUACGUCCGGGGCGACACACGUGUUACAAUGGGUGGUACAGCGGGAAGCCAGGCGGCGACGCCGAGCGGAACCCGAAAUCCACUCUCAGUUCGGAUCGGAGUCUGCAACCCGACUCCGUGAAGCUGGAUUCGCUAGUAAUCGCGCAUCAGCCAUGGCGCGGUGAAUACGUUCCCGGGCCUUGUACACACCGCCCGUCAAGCCAUGGGAGCCGAGGGCGCUUGAAGU
rnacentral:rRNA from 1 species